UGGGGAAUCUUGCGCAAUGCGCGAAAGCGUGACGCAGCAACGCCGCGUGUGGGAAGACGGCCUUCGGGUUGUAAACCACUUUCAGUUGGGACGAAGGUUCACGGGUUAAUAGCCCGCUGGACUGACGGUACCUUCACAAGAAGCCCCGGCUAACUACGUGCCAGCAGCCGCGGUAAUACGUAGGGGGCAAGCGUUGUCCGGAAUCAUUGGGCGUAAAGCGCGUGUAGGCGGCUCGGUAAGUCCGCUCUGAAAGUCCAGGGCUCAACCCUGGGAUGCGGGUGGAUACUGCCGGGCUCGAGUCCGGAAGAGGCGAGUGGAAUUCCUGGUGUAGCGGUGAAAUGCGCAGAUAUCAGGAGGAACACCAAUGGCGAAGGCAGCUCGCUGGGACGUGACUGACGCUGAGACGCGAAAGCUAGGGGAGCAAA
rnacentral:rRNA from 1 species